CAGCAGUAGCCGCGGGAAUACAGAGGGUGCGAGCGUUAAUCGGAUUUACUGGGCGUAAAGCGUGCGUAGGCGGCUUCUUAAGUCGGAUGUGAAAUCCCUGAGCUUAACUUAGGAAUUGCAUUCGAUACUGGGAAGCUAGAGUAUGGGAGAGGAUGGUAGAAUUCCAGGUGUAGCGGUGAAAUGCGUAGAGAUCUGGAGGAAUACCGAUGGCGAAGGCAGCCAUCUGGCCUAAUACUGACGCUGAGGUACGAAAGCAUGGGGAGCAAACAGGAUUAGAUACCCCGGUAGUCCCUGUCUCUUAUAA
rnacentral:rRNA from 1 species